AGAGUUUGAUCCUGGCUCAGAACGAACGCUGGCGGCAGGCUUAACACAUGCAAGUCGAACGCUCGUAGCAAUACGGGAGUGGCAGACGGGUGAGUAACGCGUGGGAACAUACCCUUUGGUUCGGAAUAACUGAGAGAAAUUUCAGCUAAUACCGGAUGUGCCCUUCGGGGGAAAGAUUUAUCGCCAAAGGAUUGGCCCGCGUCUGAUUAGCUAGUUGGUGAGGUAACGGCCCACCAAGGCGACGAUCAGUAGCUGGUCUGAGAGGAUGAUCAGCCACACUGGGACUGAGACACGGCCCAGACUCCUACGGGAGGCAGCAGUGGGGAAUAUUGGACAAUGGGGGCAACCCUGAUCCAGCCAUGCCGCGUGAGUGAUGAAGGCCUUAGGGUUGUAAAGCUCUUUCGUCAGGGAAGAUAAUGACGUACCGAAGAAGAGC
rnacentral:rRNA from 1 species